UGGGGAAUCUUGCGCAAUGGGCGAAAGCCUGACGCAGCAACGCCGCGUGGGGGAUGAAGGCUCUCGGGUUGUAAACCCCUUUCAGCAGGGACGCGGUACCUGCAGAAGAAGCCCCGGCCAACUACGUGCCAGCAGCCGCGGUAACACGUAGGGGGCGAGCGUUGUCCGGAUUUAUUGGGCGUAAAGAGCUCGUAGGCGGCUCAGUAAGUCGGGUGUGAAAUUUCAGGGCUCAACCCUGAAACGCCACCCGAUACUGCUGGGCUAGAGUCCGGUAGGGGAGCGUGGAAUUCCUGGUGUAGCGGUGAAAUGCGCAGAUAUCAGGAGGAACACCAGCGGCGAAGGCGGCGCUCUGGGCCGGAACUGACGCUGAGGAGCGAAAGCAUGGGUAGCGAACAGGAUUAGAUACCCUGGUAGU
rnacentral:rRNA from 1 species